GUGGAGGAUAACCUCGGGAAACUGAGAAUAAUACUCCAUAGGUUUAGGAGGCUGGAAUGCACUUAAACCAAAAACUUCGGUGCCCUAGGAUGAGUCUGCGGACUAUCAGGUAGUAGUCAGGGUAAUGACCUGACUAGCCUACGACGGAUAUGGGUUGUGAGAGCAAUAACCCAGAGAUGAUAUCUGAGACACGAUAUCAGGCCCUACGGGGCGCAGCAGGCGCGAAAACUUCACAAUGUGCGAAAGCGCGAUGAGGGAAUCCCAAGUGCUCGCACGUAAGUGUAAGCUGUUUCUCUGUAUAAAAAGCAGAUAGAGUAAGGGCUGGGUAAGACGGGUGCCAGCCGCCGCGGUAAUACCUGCAGCUCAAGUGGUGGUCGUUAUUAUUGGGCCUAAAACGUUC
rnacentral:rRNA from 1 species